UGCCCUACGGGGGGCAGCAGUGGGGAAUAUUGCACAAUGGGGGAAACCCUGAUGCAGCGACGCCGCGUGAGUGAAGAAGUAUUUCGGUAUGUAAAGCUCUAUCAGCAGGGAAGAAAAUGACGGUACCUGACUAAGAAGCCCCGGCUAACUACGUGCCAGCAGCCGCGGUAAUACGUAGGGGGCAAGCGUUAUCCGGAUUUACUGGGUGUAAAGGGAGCGUAGACGGCAUGGCAAGUCAGAUGUGAAAGCCCGGGGCUCAACCCCGGGACUGCAUUUGAAACUGUUGGUCUUGAGUAUCGGAGAGG
rnacentral:rRNA from 1 species